rnacentral:rRNA from 1 species
AUGCUUCCUGCUGUUGACUUCGAUCUGAAGUUCACCUAUGUGCUGGCUGGUUGGGAAGGGUCAACACAUGAUGCUAACAUACUCGGUGACAACAUGAGUCGUCCUUAUGGCAUCAACAUCCCUGAUGGCAAGUUCUACCUAGGAGAUGCCGGCUAUGCAUGUCGGCCGGGUGUUCUUCCACCCUUCAGGAAGACCAGGUAUCACCUGAACGAGUUCUCUGGUAGGAACUACCCUAGGACUCCACAUGAGCUAUUCAAUCUCAGAAACACCAGCCUUAGAGUAACAAUUGAGAGGACAUUUGGAAAUCUGAAGAACAUGUUCAAGAUCCUAGAUGAGAAGCCACCCACCCUCACCCUACCCAAGUUAAGCUUGUUUUUGCAUGUUGCAUUCUGCAUAACUGGAUCCUGCAAUGGGGUUGUGAUGAACUAG